AAGCUUCUUGACAUCUGAAGAUUUCCAAUGUCCACUUUGAGAGCCCACCCAUCAGAGCACUGUGGCAGCAGGAGUGUGGCCGAGAUUAGAGGUUGAAGACAGCUUUGUCGAAAUGAGCUACUGGCCUCAUGAGACCUGCUGAGGGGGUGAAUGAAGUGCGCAGGGAUGAAUAAACCCUGCCAUCAAAAAUGUCACCUUCAUCCAUGAGACAACAAGGCAGUCAUGAAUUGUGGUCACUGUCUGCCAUCCCCAACUUCCUAGGCACCGAGUGGCACAGCCUUUUCCAGGAUCGGAGAAACUUCCAAUCCUGCUGAAAUGACUUGGUACUCUAUUUCCAGACAGGAACAUAAUAGCAAGGAAGAUUCCCAAAAGUAUUUUGCAAGCCUGUGCCUCCCACAUAAUAAGCAUUCAGCAAACAUCUGCUGAUGCAUUGGUCAAGUCCCAAUCUGGAAGCACCUGCAAGGUACAACUGACUACGAGAGGCAGGAUGCUCGUCGACAUGAAGUGGUAUUCUGCAGCUUUCAGUGCUCUAAAGCUCUCCAUUACCAAGGGAAAGGAUUUCCACUCAAUUAGAUCACAAAAUAGAGGAUUAUGCGGUUUGAGUCCCAACAUGGGGAAGACUUGAAGAGAUUGUGUGUCAGAAAAACUAACUGAAGACAAGAGCUACAAUGUGUGUUAGCACGGAGGCAGUGUCCGCCCCAAGAACAGUCAGGUAUUUGUCUUCCUUUGUGCCUUCAGAGGGCUGUGUUGAGGGCUAGCACUCAUUUUCAGGAGAAAUGAAUCGCGCACCCUCAGAUUGGAUGUGGCUAGCUGGGUCUAGAGGGUGUCAGUCUUUGAGCUGCGUGCCGUCUAACGUCAACACUUCGUUUACUUACGACAUAAAUUAAAUCCCUGAGCUGGAACAAGCCAGGGGAGAGACAGCGGGCUAGACUUGUCAUGGCAGGAAAGAGUAAAACACAAGGUAUCCUCACAAAACAUAUUAAAGAUGUAAAUUUGGGUAGGAAAAAUCCCGUUAUGAUUAUUGCUUAUUACAUGUUGUUACUUAAUCUGAAUUCUUCCAGGAAAUUUGAGUUUACCGAAUUCAGCUUGGUAGGACUCAGUGGAAUAAAGAAAAGCUGAAAGAAAGAGUGUUAAAUUCUCCACCUGGUUUGGUUGUUGAUUUCUCUUUAACCUAUAGGUGGUUCAUAGUAUUCUGCCCUUGACAGACAGUUAAUAAAAUUAUGGUCAAUUUGGGUGUUUAGUUUUCCGAAUGAGGUUUUGCUGAUGGGAUCAUUUGAUAAAGCCAUGGACUCACUAGGACAAAGGCACACGUCCCAGAACCCACAGGAGCCUUUUUGCUCUCACUGCCACUCACUGUACCCCAGUGUAUUCACACUACUGGUCACCAGGAGGACCGGAUGAAAAAGGGUGAAGACAGCAUCAUGUGGUUGAUGCUCAACAAAUCAUUGUAGAAGGGACGUUGUUUGAAGUUAUAGCCUCAGAUGUCACUUGGAAGCAGUUAUCAAUAAAUGUCAUCCCUAUUUAGCUAACUUUGAUUCUCCCGUAUUGGAGAAUAUAUAUGAGGAUGAAGCCUGAAUGGUACUAAAACUAGUAAUUUACAUGUGUAACCAAUAUGGAUUUUUCCACUUAGGUCAAUAAAUGUCACCAUCUGUGGGGCAUUCGAUAACCAGCUCCAUAUGGGCGCGCGCACACACACACACACACACACACACACACACACACACACAGGGAAGGUUCCAGGUCUACAGGACGCACCACCCCAGGCUAUGCUAUGUGGCAAACCUAUCUAGUCUGCACUGCCCAGGGGGCCCAGGUGAGAAAACUAACAGGUUUUCUGUUUGAAAUUGGUUCCCCAGAGCCCAGCAACCUCUUUCUUCCUCCUUAUUUGGGGUGGAGAACAUGAAAGAAAAAGCUAUUAUAUACCCGCUGAGUAAAGAACCUAGAAGGGGAUUCAAAAAAACUAGAUCCAGGGGCGCCUGGGUGGCUCGGUCGGUUGGGUGUCCAACUUCGGCUCAGGUCAUGAUCUCACAGUUCGUGGGUUCGAGCCCCACGUCGGUUUCUGUGCUGACAACUCAGAGCCUGGAGCCUGUUUCAGAUUCUGUGUCUCCCUCUCUCUCUGCCCCUCCCCUGUUCAUGCUCUGUCUCUGUCUCAAGAAUAAAUAAACAUUAAAAAAGAAAUUAAAAAAAAAACAAACUAGAUCCAACCUACAGAAAAUUUUUUUUGCCUUCUAAAGAGUUAAAAAUUUGGAAAGUUUUGUCUAAAUAUGUGGUUUGCAGCUGCUCCAAAAUAACAGAAGACCUAGCAUCACUGGAAUGACGUUUCCAUGUGGAGCUAAUCGGUGAGACCUGAGUAACAGCCACUCUUUUCAGACGGUCCUGUUCAGUGCCCACCUAGCCUAAACAUUGGGGUUGAGGGCAAGAGGGCUACAGUAGAAAGAGAGCUCAAGGGGCGCCUGGGUGGCUCAGUUGGUUGAGCAUCCGACUUUGGCUCAGGUCAUGAUCUCACGGUUCGUAGGUUCGAGCCCUGCGUUGGGCUCUGUGCUGACAGCUCAGAGACUGGAGCCUGCUUCAGAUUCUGCGUGUCCCCCUCUGCCCCUCCCCUGCUUGCAUUGUCUCUUUCUCUCAAAAAAUAAAUAAAACAUUAAAAAAAGAAAGAGACCUCAAAAAUACCAACGAACUUAUCAAUAAGAUUCCAGCAGAUUUGCAUUCUUCACUUCCCUUUCGGCUGCCCUCAGCAUGCCCUUUUGUAGCCAUUGGUUUUAGUGAAUGUUUUCAUUAAACAUCCUAUGAACGUUUUCAGAUAACAAUAAAUAAUGAUAGCUAACUUUUACUGAUCUCCCACAGUGUGCCAUGCACUCUGUUAACCGACAUAUGUCCUAUCUUUUCAUUAUUCUAAGAACUCAGAGAUAUAGUUACAACUAUUAUCUCCUCUUUAAAGACAGUAAACAAGCUUGGAAAGUUUAAAAAAUGUGUCCCAAGGCAGAAAGCUAGGAGAUGGUAGGGAUAGUUAAGCCCAGAUAGCAUCACUCUUAGCCAUUAGACCACACUGCCUCUAACGGUAAACCCACUGUUUCAUUAUUAUUGAUUUAAUAAUGCACAUUGAUUUAAAUAUGCGCAUUGAAUCCUUGAGGUAAAGAGGUGAAACUCAGAUCCCUAAUUUAGAUUUUCUCUCUUUCCUCAUGCAAACAAUGGUGAUAUACGCCUAGUAGACUAAAAAUAUAUCACAUAGCAUGUAGACUUUUACAAACAGAGGGGAAGUUUUUGGUUUUGGUUUUUGGUUUUUGGUUUUUUGGGUUUUUUUAUUUUAUUAGGUGUUUUUCUUUUUCCUUAAGACUUCAUGUUUGGGCACUAUUUAGAAUACCUUGCAAUAAAACAUAAAUUUGUAUUACAUUUAAAAGCCUUUCAAUGGUCCGUUUCAUUAUAAAAAUAGCACACGCUGGAUAAAAAUAAGAGUAUUCCACUUUAAGUACACUUUAAGCCCUUCCAGAAAAGCUAAAAUAUUGGUACUCUGUUCAGCCAAAGCUGAGAAGGAAUUCUAAGCAGAAUUCUAGUAAAACCCUAUAUUAAAAACUAAAGAUAGAAAUAUAAAAUGAUAGGCUAGAUAAGGAAUAAGUAUUUUUAAAAUAUAAAUAAAUAAACAGAAGAAUUUUGGAACAUACUGGCCUCCCCCCACUCUGUUCAACAGCUUCCGUUCAAAUGUUCCAGUCUGUGCUUCUAUGACAAGAUAGUGUGGAAGGAAAAGCCAAAUCAAAUGAGAAACCCAGUCGCUAAAAUGUGUUUAAUCAUUUACAAUGUCUGCCCUUUCACAAUUCAAAUGAUUUUGGGUUGCACAUAACUUUUCCAAGGAGCCAGGUUUUCUGCAGAAUGUUCGUACAUUUUUAACUAAAAAUUCAUUUUCCCCAUUCCAUCUGGAAAUGUCUAAACUUUUCAUUCAACUCCCUACAGAUUUCUAUACUUUAGGGACUGAAGGAAAAUUUCAUGAAAGUCUUAUGAUGCAAAUUUGGUCAAAUUCUUUAUCACUGCCUGCUUUGGAUAACUUUAUCUCUUUUAAUUAAGAAGGUCACUUAUAGUCAAACAGAGAGACUGUUUGACUGAUUUUGUAAUCAGUAAUGGAAAAAAGCUGAAAAGAAUAAUCACCGAAAGGAGUUACUAUAGCUCUUCACACAAAUUCCAUUGCAUAGACCCUUAUAAAAAUAAGCAUCAGUAGCCAAUGGCUGAGUAUAAAGAAAAUAAGUCAGAGCCUAAAGCAGUAUGACAGAUACUUAGGCCUGAACUCAGUGCCUGAGGAAUGUUGGGUUGCCGACAUAGAUUUGCUCUCCUAUUGCUUGAAGGAUACAUUUUACUAUAUUGUCUUUUUUUCUAAGUUUAUUUACUUAUUUUGAUAGAGAGAGAGAGAGAGAGAGAGAGAAAGUGAGAGAGUGGGGGAGGGGCAGAGACAGAAGGAGAGAAAGAGAUGUAGGGCUUGAACCCACAAACCGUGAGAUCAUGACCUGAGUCGAAAUCAAGAGCCAGAUGCUUAACCAACUGAGCCACCCAAGUGCCCCUUAAUAUAGUUUCUGUUUUAUUUCCUAUAAAUUUCAUAUAUACAUAUGAUUGCCAAAUUCAGAAUGGUGAUGUCAUUAACUAUGAUUAACUCUGUGC